rnacentral:lncRNA from 1 species
UCCAAACAUGCUGGUAUUUACAUCUAUCUUGCUUAUUGUUAACAUUUACCUUUUUACCGGUCCAACUAUCUGGUAUCUGAACUCGAGAUAUCUGAUUAAUGAUGGAGAGAUCUAAGUUCUCAACUAUACCACUGCCUUUUGUGGUAUUGCUAAUGUUUGCCAAUUGCCUUUGAUGAGGUUGUUAAUGUUUACCUUUUUAUCGGUCCAACUAUCUGGUAUCUGAAUUCGUGCCGGAUAAGUCCACUAGAUGGAUAAAGCUUCCAAACAAAAAGCUAUCGAACUCGAGGUAUCUGAUUAAUGAUGGAGAGAUCCAAGUUCUCAACUAUACCGCUGCCUUUGGUGGUAUUGUUAAAUGUUUACCAAUUGCCUUUGAUGAAUAAAUUAAUGGUUGGAUCUAAUCCCUUUUCUUGUAUGAACUUGGUUCAAAUUUCUGUUUUCAGUGCAGAAUUUAAAGAUCAUUCUUUCUGAUACUUCUCUU